rnacentral:lncRNA from 1 species
GGCCGGCCAGCGGCAACCUGCUGCAGUCGCCUGAGCCCACCUAUGGGCCUCCCAGGUCCCGGCAGCCCUCCCUCGCCAAGGAGGCCUCUGUCGCCGGGCUCAAGCCCACCAUCACGAAGCAGGCCUCGCAGACCCCGUCGACGCUGAACCCGGUGCUGCCGGCGGCGGAGCGCACGGUGGCCUGGGUGUCCAACAUGCCCCACCUGUCGGCCGACAUCGAGAGCUCCCACAUCGAGCGCGAGGAGUACAAGCUCAAGGAGUACUCCAAGUCCAUGGAUGAGAGCCGGCUGGACCGGGUAAGGGCCUGCCCGCCCGCUGGGACCCAGGCGUCCGGGCAACCCAGAGGUCCACACCCAGAGGGAAUCAGGCAUCUGGGGACAAGGGGCCCCAGGUGUCUGGCCUCCAGGGGAAACCAGGUGUCCAGGGUCUAAGGGACCCAGGCGUCCAGGGCUGCCACAACCCAGUUGCCUGGGCAUCAAGGGGAAUCCAGGUGUUUGGGGCUCAAGGGACCCAGGCGUCCGGGCCUGUGACACCCCAAUCAUGUGGACCUGUGAGGGACCCGGGUGUCCGGGUGGGGUAAGUUUGGUCCUUACUCCCCUCGCACUGAGGACACAGAUGUGGAGAUGGGUGGUGAGGGGACCCAGGCGUCCGAGGUCCAGGGGAGCCAGGUGUCCAGGAGAGGGGAGCCAGGUGUCCAGUGUCCAAGGGACCUAGGUGUCUGGUGUCCAAGGGACCCAGGUGUCCGGGGCUCAGGAGACCCAGGCGUCCAGUGUCCAAGGGACCUAGGUGUCCGGUGUCCAAGGGACCCAGGUGUCCAGUGUCCAAGGGACCUAAGUGUCCAAGGGACCCAGAUGUCUGGGGCUAAGGUGACCCAGGUGUCCGGUGUCCAGGGGACCUAGGCGUCCGACGUCCAAGGGACCCAGAUGUCCGGAGCUAAGGGGACCCAGGUGUCCAGGACAGGAGACCCAGGUGUCCAAGAUGCAGUGGACCCUGGCAUCUGGGGCUCAUGACACCCCAGUCACACAGACCCACGAGGGACCCAGGCGUCCAGUUG